GUUUCCAGAACCAUUUUUCCCUUGAGAUGCGAUUGGAGUUAACUGGGAUAUAAAAUCUGCUUUCCUAACCCACACUUGUUUUACAAACGGUGCAAUGUGUUUGUGGGUGUACUUCUCAUGCCUUUGAUCUUUAUAAAAGUAAAAACACUUAGGUCUGGUAUGGCCACGAACCUUGCAAUAAUGACAA